UUGAUAAGGGCGGGACUAAUGCCCUCCUGCACAGGGCUACAACCUGCCGCCUACCUCGGCCUACC
rnacentral:tRNA from 1 species